GACGAACGCUGGCGGCGUGCUUAACACAUGCAAGUCGAACGGAGUGGCGAACGGGUGAGUAACACGUGGGUGAACUUCCUUGCACUUCGGGGUAAGCUUGGGGAACUGGGUCUAAUACCGGCUUGGGCAAGAUGAGCGCGCGGCCUAUCAGCUUGUUGGUGGGGUAAUGGCCUACCCAGGCGUCGACGGGUAGCCGGCCUGAGAGCGUGUACGGCCACAUUGGGACUGAGAUACGGCCCAGAGGGCGACGGGGGGCAGCAGUGGCGAAUAUGGCACAAUGGGCGGACGCGUGAGGCAGAGACCCUGGGGGGGGGAUGAAGGUUUGCGGGUGGUAAACUCCGUUAGACAGGGACGCGGUACCUGUAGAAGAAGCACCGGCUAACUACGUGCCAGCAGCCGCGGUAAUUC
rnacentral:rRNA from 1 species